UCGACGUCGACGAAAACUACUUGACUCGUUGUUUCAGACGCCGAGAUGCUCUUCUCGCGCCUGCCGCCUCGAGACACGGUCAUCGAGCCGCUUCAGUAACUCGUAUUGAAGUGAAUUUUUAUGUAAAUACUAUUGCAUAAUUUAUAACGAAGUUUGAAAAUAUUCUGUAGCUGGAAAUAUCCUAUAUUCCUGGCGUACAAGAAUAUUCAUGGGCUCUUUGAAUACGCGCUAGUAUUUAAAUUAAUCGAAGAACCUGGAAGCUGCGUUACAAUGUUUGAUUUACUGCGCUGCUCGCUGAGUUGCUUGUAUCAACAUCGCUCGUAUCGAAAUAAAAAAGAGAUAGAAAAAUACAAUUGCACCGAUAGCGGUAGUGAAACUGGUAUUAUUUUCCUACUAAAAAUCCUCAGCGUCCUUCAGCUCCGCUAUUUUCCUCUCAUACCAUUUGUUACGUCCGAUGACUCUUUAUGUAACCGAGAACCAUCCCUCGGUCGAGGCGGCCACUAGCUGUGCAAUUAGAAUUAGUCGGACCUCAAUAAUCCUAAGGAACUGUAAUAAAACUAAGUAUUUCGAUUUUACCGUUAAGGCCG